AAAUGUUGAGCAAGUGAGUGUAUAUAUAAAUGCACAUACGGUAUAAAAAAGGGAAGGCCGUUGGUCUGAUUUGUGUAGUUUUGACUUCAAAUGACCUGGACAACUGUGGUGAUUCAUGCCCUAAGUCAAUUGUUGAGGGUUCAGCAUUUGUGUUUCCCAGAGCUGAUCCUGCAUAACAGCAAACUCAGGCCAAAAAGGAUUAGAGUGCUUUGUGGUCACUGCUAGCUUCAAGUGCAAACAGCUGUGACUGACCUGAUAGGAAGUGGCCGGAAUAGGCUAGGCUUCUUCUCACCAUCACCUGAGCCCUAGAGAUACCAUUUCUCUAAGCUAUUGCUUGGAAGUUUCAAUGGAUGGCCCUGUUCUCUAUAUGCAUUGCCUCUGAGUUCCCAAGACUCAAAAGAUCUUGGUUCUAAAUUUGGAUCUCUCCUUGUAGGCUAUGACUUUGUGCAAAUCCCUGAAUUAUUUUGAGCUGCAGUUUCAAAUUUGAAAAUACUGAAACUAUCUAUUUUAGUUACUGUACAGGAUUAUUUUAAGAAGCCCACAAUAGGUAAAGAAGGAAAGCUUGUUGAACUGUGAAGUGCUAUACAAGAAUAAGGACCCACUCCUGGUCCAGCCAUAAGCAGCCAGAUGUUUUGUCUUUAAGAAACAAUUAUAUAAGGGCCCUGUUUCUUGAACUUGAUCCCUUGAGCCAGUGGUUCUCAAUCUAUGAGUCACAACCCCUUUGAGGGCCAAAGGACCUUUCCAAAGAUUUGCCUAAGAACAUUUGAAAACACUGAGAUUUACACUGGGAUUCCUAACAGUAGCCAAAUUACAAUAAUGAAGUAGCCACAAAAAUAAUUUUAUGGUUAGGAGUCACCACAAAAUAAGGGUCACAGCAUUAGAAAAGUUAAGAAUCACUGACUUGAGCAGAUAAGAACUUUACAUGGAGGUCCUGCUGCCUACAGAAUGUCUGAUUGAGUUGCCCUGUUCUGUAGUCUGAAAAUUUGCAUUUUCCCCCGUGUUUAGGUGAGACUUUCAAAGCUUCAGACCUGGGCUGCAGUUUGAGGAGCAUUGCAAUGUUUUCAUAUCAAUGUGGUCCACAGAUGGGCACCAGAAAUAUCAAUCACUCGUUACAAACAAAAUCUGAAUCAACCACAAAUUGCCUCUCAGAAUCUUCAUUUUUAGACAAGAUCCCCAAGAAAUUCCCAAGCAUUUUCAAGUUGGGAACUCCCUGAGCUCUCACAGUCAUGCAUUUCCCCUGACAAGCAUUGGGAAAACAUUGGAGCUGGAGAUUCCUGAUGCUCAUCAAAUCUUUACUGGAUUGGUUUGGAGAAGCGCCUAGGCUUCGCUUGUUGCUUCUUGUAUUUAAUGGUUCAUGUAUAUACACAGAAUGGAGAACCACCAGAUUAGAGGU
rnacentral:lncRNA from 1 species